CCCAGCUGAGCUCCACCUCUCCCCAGAGCUGUGUUUGCCAUGGGAGCACAUCUGUUCUGGCUUCUCCACCUAUUUCUGAAGUGCAGACAUAACAUCUUGUUCAAACAAAAUCCUCCUGGAGUGACUGCAAUUAAACCAAGAAAGGACGUGGACCUGGUCUUUAUUUUUGAUCUCCUGCCUCUGCUGUGAUUCAGGUUGGCCCAGAUAAUAAAAAUAAAUCCCUCCU
rnacentral:lncRNA from 1 species